rnacentral:rRNA from 1 species
CCUACGGGAGGCAGCAGCUAAGAAUCUUCCGCAAUGGGGGAAACCCUGACGGAGCGACGCCGCGUGGAUGAUGAAGGCCGUAAGGUUGUAAAAUCCUUUUGUCGGUGAAGAAUAAGGGGGGGAGUGGAAAGCCUCCCUGAUGACGUUAGCCGACGAAUAAGCCCCGGCUAAUUACGUGCCAGCAGCCGCGGUAAUACGUAUGGGGCAAGCGUUGUUCGGAUUUAUUGGGCGUAAAGGGCGUGUAGGCGGCUCAUCAAGUCUGGUGUGAAAUCGACAGGCUCAACCUGUCAUAUGCGCUGGAAACUGGUGGGCUUGAGUUCUUGAGGGGAAGCUGGAAUUCCAGGUGUAGGAGUGAAAUCUGUAGAUAUCUGGAAGAACACCGGUGGCGAAGGCGAGCUUCUAUCAGAGGACUGACGCUGAGGCGCGAAAGCGUGGGGAGCAAACAGGAUUAGAUACCCUGGUAGUCCACGCUGUAAACGAUGUGCACUAGGCGUGGGGCACGUACGUGUUCUGUGCCGUAGUUAACGUGUUAAGUGCACCGCCUGGGGAGUAUGCUCGCAAGGGUGAAACUCAAAGGAAUUGACGG